CAGUUUCUCCAUCUGAACUUUCAGCCGCCAUCCAUUUUUUGAAUUCUUCAGCCUGCUUGGUUACUGGAUUGAUCUACGAUAAAGUAUAAGAACUGUUCAAUUGUUGAGCAACCCACUUCCAUCUGAAAUUGAAGUAAAGGACUACAGCGAUAUCACCUUCUUCGUUUUUUAUAGAAGAUCCCUAUCACAUCUAUACAAAAACAUUUUAUUCAUUGAAGUAAGUUUUUUUUAAUUUCCUACCAAUUAUU